rnacentral:rRNA from 1 species
UACGGAGGGUGCAAGCGUUAUCCGGAUUCACUGGGUUUAAAGGGUGCGUAGGAGGGCAGGUAAGUCAGUGGUGAAAUCUCCAAGCUUAACUUGGAAACUGCCGUUGAUACUAUCUGUCUUGAAUACCGUGGAGGUGAGCGGAAUAUGUCAUGUAGCGGAUGAAAUGCUUAGGAAUGUGGAACAUACGUAACACCCAAUUGCGAAAGGC